rnacentral:rRNA from 1 species
CCUACGGGUGGCAGCAGUGGGGAAUAUUGGACAAUGGGCGAAAGCCUGAUCCAGCCAUGCCGCGUGUGUGAAGAAGGCCUUCGGGUUGUAAAGCACUUUCAGUGGGGAAGAAAGCCUGGGGGCUAAUACCCUCGAGGAAGGACAUCACCCACAGAAGAAGCACCGGCUAACUCCGUGCCAGCAGCCGCGGUAAUACGGAGGGUGCGAGCGUUAAUCGGAAUUACUGGGCGUAAAGCGCGCGUAGGCGGUCUGAUAAGCCGGUUGUGAAAGCCCCGGGCUCAACCUGGGAACGGCAUCCGGAACUGUCAGGCUAGAGUGCAGGAGAGGAAGGUAGAAUUCCCGGUGUAGCGGUGAAAUGCGUAGAGAUCGGGAGGAAUACCAGUGGCGAAGGCGGCCUUCUGGACUGACACUGACGCUGAGGUGCGAAAGCGUGGGUAGCAAACAGGAUUAGAUACCCCGGUAGUC